AAGCAUAUGUUGGUAGUACAUCCA
rnacentral:siRNA from 1 species